rnacentral:rRNA from 1 species
GGACGGCGCUAGACAUGCAGUCGAACGGUAACAGGAAGCAGCUUGCUGCUUUGCUGACGAGUGGCGGACGGGUGAGUAAUGUCUGGGAAACUGCCCGAUGGAGGGGGAUAACUACUGGAAACGGUAGCUAAUACCGCAUAACGUCGCAAGACCAAAGAGGGGGACCUUCGGGCCUCUUGCCAUCGGAUGUGCCCAGAUGGGAUUAGCUAGUAGGUGGGGUAACGGCUCACCUAGGCGACGAUCCCUAGCUGGUCUGAGAGGAUGACCAGCCACACUGGAACUGAGACACGGUCCAGACUCCUACGGGAGGCAGCAGUGGGGAAUAUUGCACAAUGGGCGCAAGCCUGAUGCAGCCAUGCCGCGUGUAUGAAGAAGGCCUUCGGGUUGUAAAGUACUUUCAGCGGGGAGGAAGGGAGUAAAGUUAAUACCUUUGCUCAUUGACGUUACCCGCAGAAGAAGCACCGGCUAACUCCGUGCCAGCAGCCGCGGUAAUACGGAGGGUGCAAGCGUUAAUCGGAAUUACUGGGCGUAAAGCGCACGCAGGCGGUUUGUUAAGUCAGAUGUGAAAUCCCCGGGCUCAACCUGGGAACUGCAUCUGAU